GACAGAGGGUGCAAACGUUGUUCGGAAUUACUGGGCGUAAAGCGCGUGUAGGCUGCUCUGCAAGUCGGGUGUGAAAGCCCCGGGCUCAACCUGGGAAGUGCACUCGAAACUGCAGAGCUCGAGUCCUGGAGAGGAAGGCGGAAUUCUCGGUGUAGAGGUGAAAUUCGUAGAUAUCAAGCGGAACACCGGUGGCGAAGGCGGCCUUCUGGACAGUGACUGACGCUGAGACGCGAAAGCGUGGGGAGCAAACAGG
rnacentral:rRNA from 1 species